UAAUUUUUAUUUAUUUCCUUUUAUUGCUUUCCUAGCAAUGUUCAUCUUUUUACUAUACAACAUCCAUAACCUUAACUUUGGAAAUAAAAGAGAAUAUGUGAAAGUAUAAGUAGGAGAAAGACUUCAUUGAAAUCAAACAAAUUGGGCAACGUUAGAUUUUUCUUUAAAAUUCUCAUGAGAUAUUAAUUAGUAGUAUUAUCACUGCUGCCUGCCUAUUUCUAACCUCAACCAAUAUAUGAUCAAUGCUUGAUUUGGUCAAUCUAAAUAAUUAUGAUCGAUGAUUGGAUAUUGUUGAAGGGCGGCCCUAAGGAUGAGAGAGGGGAAUGCGUGUGCAAGCCACAUGUGUGAAGAAAAAGAAAAAGGCAAGAGUGAAGAUGACGACGAUUAAAAUCUUGUUUGAUUUCUUUUUCUGAUAAUUUUGUUAAUCUGCUGUUGUUAGUUCCAAAAUUUUAGUUAGCAACAAAAUGACAUGUUUUUGUGUUUAAUAAGGAAAAAGUAAAUAAUAUAUUUUCUAUAGGAUUCUUAGAAUGGAUUAGAUUAGACUACGGAGAGAAAUAUAUUUGAGAAUAUUAGUGUUGAGUUAUUCUAAUGUCUUUAAUAGUAAAUUCAAUUAAGACUAUUUUAGUAAUAUAUUUUUUUUAUUGAAAUUAGAGUGUUCAAAGUUAGUAAUAAAAAAUUCAAUAAUUUUUUAUUGAAUUUAUAUAACUCUGGAUUCUUUUUUUUUUUUUCCAACACUGAUAUGGUUCUGUUCUGUGUAUUUAUAUACAAUUUAAUGUUUACAUACAAAUUAAAUAAGAUCAAUUUAAUGUUUAUAUACAAUCCUUCAAGUCGUAACUCAAUUUUAUGGAGGUUUAUACAUCUGCACGCAUUCCUUGAAUUUCUCCUAGAUUGGAACUUCUUAAUUGAUCCAAUGCAUUUUUCCAACAGUCAAGAUCCUUAGUUGUCAGAGCAUUUGCAAUCGUACUCAGUGCACCAGGCAAACCUCCGCAUCUUUCAACGAUCGAGGAGUAUUUUUGUUGAAUCACCGACUAUAUUCUCAAAUAACUGCAAUGCUUCUUUUUUUGAUAACGCAUCGAUCGAGGAAUUUUUCUGAGAUUUCAUAUCAUUGCACAAUAAUAAAUCUCGACUUCUAGACGUCAAUAUUAUUUUGCAUUGUCUCUGAUCGUCAACAUCCCCGGAAGUUAAUGAACGGAAUUCUUUUAUCCUUUCUAUCUUUCUCAUCAACAUCCCCGGAAGUAACCACAUCGAACAACUUAUCUUCCCUCACUUGCUUUGCAACAUCUUGGAAUACUUUCAUUCUGGAAUCAAAGGCUACGUAAUCUUUCACUUGCACGUACUCUGUACUCUCUGGAGCAGGACGGUAGGAAACAUGAUUACAGAUGUUAAAUUCGCCUUUUUUCACAAGUUUAUCAGCUUCGUUUGCGGCCUCUGCUGCUUGUUUACCAAGCUUGUAACGAGAAAUCAAAUUUGGGCACAACCCUUUGAAGCAGAACAUCUUAGCUCUAUCUUUAUCAUCAAUGAUGGAUUUUACAACCCCUUCACUGAAUUCAGCAACUCUAUUUAGCCAGUCUCAGACACCCUUAUAAAUCUCAUCUCCUUGUAGAGUAGCCUCUCUAACCAGCGUUUUCACCCUUUCUCUUAUAUAUUCCAGCUCCUUCACUCAAUCUUUUAGCCCAUCUAUGUAGCUUUGGUAUUCGAACACAUAAGAUAUGUGCCGCAUAAUCGGUUCGAAUAAUGCUUUUGAACCUUGUGAUACAAUGCUGGAAAAAGCAGGGAGACACCCUUCAACAGCCAUUGCCUGUUGCUUAACAAUAUAUAUAUAUAAAUACAAGUGUCAAAGAAAGGAAUACAAAUAAAUUAAAAUGAACUAGAGGGAAAGAUAGAGAAUGAAAAGAUCACAAACAAUAUGGCUAUAUUGAUCUUGAACCAACUAAUAACUAAAUAGAGAAUUUCUUUUUCUUUCUUAAGGAUAAGAGGUUUUACUAUUAACAAAAAGUUAUUUUGAGGGUCUGAAUAAAAAACCAACCAUAAAUUAUCAAAAGCUAGUAAAAACACAGACAUAAAUAAUGAACAAUUACUUAAACAAAACAAACUAUGAAACAAAGAAAAUCUAAUAAAAUGACAAAGAAAGAAAGAAAGAAAAUACAACAAAAAGUAUUGAAGUAUUGAUCAUGAGCCAACUGAUAUUUAAACAGAUUUUUUUUUUAAUUUUUAGUCUUUUGCUAAAGGAUUAGAGUUUUUGCUAUUAACAGAAAUGUUUCAAAAAUCUAACACUACUAGAAAAGUAUUAAAUAAUGACAGAAAUUUGAUGACAUAUAUCGUUGUGUCACGAAUAUGUCAUAAAAAUAUGAUAGAUUCAUAAUAUAUAUUCACAUGUCCAGAAUAUAUGACAUAUUCAUGACUUAUAAUUUAACCGUCCUAGAUAAAUGAUACAUAUAAGUCAUGCUUAGGUUUUGUGAUCUUAUAAGAUUGUAAAACAGUAUUGUUUAAAUUAACGACACCGUUCUGUAUAACUUAAAACACAUCAACACUUACAGCCAAAUUUUGGCUAAGCGUUGAAUGAAUCCCCCUCUCUCCACUGGCCACUGCAACCUAAAAUGAAUGUUUAAAUUAACGACACCGUUGAAUUAAAGCAAAAGCUCAAAUUCCUUUUUUCAAUCGAAAUAAAACGUAGCCACAAAACCCUAAUUCACCACACCAAUUUAUCUCUGCUCGGUAUUCAUUUAAACCCUACCUCGCGGUUCAAUGUCAUUCAAUACGAUUGCAGAUGCCGUUUCAACUUGUCAUUUAGUUAGCGCCAUCCAGUUCCCUAUGGUAAGCCUUAACCCUAACGCUAGUAAGAUUUGCUAAAAAUUUCAUAUUUUGUAUUGUUCCAGUUGAAUUUCAUGUUAAUUUAAUUCUUCUUUGCCUUCUUUUUUCUUCUUCUUUAUAGUCACGCUCUGGCUUUGGUGCUAUGCUUAGUGCAGUUUGUGGUUUCAAGAUUAAGUCAUGUUUAUUUGAUGGCAUCGAUUCCAUCGUUGAGGAUUGGAUUGUUGAUCAAAUGCACCUAGUAAGCUCUUCUUAUUUUAUCUCAGUUUCAAUUUUCUUUUAUUAUCUGCCUCUACCUAAAAAUGGACGUGUUUUACUAGUAAGCAUAGACUUUGUUUAUUUAAUUGAUAUUUUAAUUUUAUGUAUAAGAAUGGAGGUUUAUUUUGAAAAAAAAAAAAGGAAAUUAAAAAAUAGAUUCUGUUGAAGCUAAUUAGUACUGAAUUUUUUUGGUGGUGCGACCAGAGGUGGAAACAGGGUAUGAAAAUGUGUUACUGGUGAGGUUGCUGCUUAAGAUGAGAAUGCAUUCUUUUCAAAAAUCCUUGGUAGGUGUUAUCUAAUUAUCUUUGAUGGAAUAUUAAAGGGCUAAAAAUCUGUCAUACGUUCAAACUUUGUUUGUGUUUAGAAGAAUGGUGUUGACUGUAUAUUCGUUUGGAAGAAUGGUGUUGAUUGUAUAUUCAUUUGCUUAGCCUUUUGACAGAUGGAUUGUAUAAUUGUGUUUGCCUCACUGUUUUUGUUUUAUGAGAUCUAUAAUUGAUCUUGGGAUAUUACUUUCUAGUUCUCAUGCAAGCAAGUUACUACCUUCCCACUGCAUCUCCUCCUUUAUCUGCUAUUCAAGAGAUGUGUGCCAUAAUCUGGUGUUACCUCUGCAAGAUUGUGAAUGAAUAUAAUGCCUCUAAAUUUAUUUUAUACAUAAUGCUGAUGCUGAAUAAUAUAUUGUAGCUCCUGUCAUAUUCUACUUUGACUUUUUAUAUUCUGUUUCAUAUAAAAAUCUUAUGCAACUUUAGUUGUUCAUGAGCAAAUGUCGCAUGUAUAAGCCCAAAUGAUGUUUAAAGGUAGCGCGGCUACCUUUAGCUUGAGCUUACAAUGGAUGAAAAAGAAAUUGAAACUUUUUUUCUGAUUUUUCAAAGUAUUUUAGAUCCUGACUUUUGUUUGGACUUGAUGGUUAUAGAUUGUGUCUAGAUUUGUUAAGUUGUUUCCAACACCUCGUGCCAAAUGAAAGCACAAUCUUUCUGAUUCAGAUGUCUGGUUAAUUAUGCUUCAUUUUUUCGUUAAAGAUUGGAUGGUUGCAUGGAUUGAUGGAGUUGGAGUUCAACCAAUAAUUCUAAUUUUUUGGACUUAAAAUGCCUUUUUCUUCUGUAUAAAAACUUUAGUAAGUGCUAUUGAGUUGACAGAAGUUGAAUACUUACAGGUUGUUUCACACUUUUUAAUAGUUUUACAUAUAUGAAUUUCUGUUUUUUGAAUUGCAGAAAGGAGGUGGAACUAUUGAUUUGGAGCCUUAUCUUACUCACUCAUCGACAACGGAGCCUACCCUCGCUCCCAUGGCAGUGGAACGGACAACGACUACUAGGGCUGCAACAUCAGUUGGUUUGGGUCUGUUUUGAGUUUAUUUUCAUUUAUUUGGCUAUGUUUUGAUAGCGAAUUUUGAUAUGUCAAUAUAAUGUGUAAUUGUUUUGGGUUGAGCUGGUAAUUAUGCUGGAUUAGAUUGGUUUGGUUUUGGUGCUUCUCUGAUGGAACACUGCUUCUUUUAGAAAUUUUGAAUGUAAUAUGAGACUACAUUUAGUUUAAUUGAACACUGCAUCUAGUCUAAUUACUAGAAGUGUGGCAUUUGGUUUGGUUUAUCCGAUAUUCUCCAGAAUUUCACUUGCAUCUGGUUUUGUUGCAUAUGUUUGCUUGCAUUUGAUGGCAGUAGCAGACUGUUUGGUUUUGUGACAUUUGACGGCAGUUUGGUCUGUUCUUGGUGUUGAUUUAAGAUUGCUCCUGUUGUGCUGAUGUUAAUUGCAGGUGCUGGAAUCAGCUAGGGUUGCUGGUUUAUUCAGAUAGUUGACUCAGGCGUUGUUACUGGUUAAUUCAGGUGGCUGACUCAAGUUGUUCAUUUAAUGUUAGGAAGCAAAUUAAGAAUUAAUGAAGUAUUCAUUUAACUAUAAUUAUUGUAGUUAUUUUAUUUCAUAACUGAAUUAUAAUCUAUGGUACUUGUGAACAAAUUAGAGAAUUUUUAUAUAUGAAUUAUAUAUAUGUGUGUGUAUGUACAUUUUGCUAUUUAUGUAAUAAUUUAAAGAAUAUAUUUCAAUUCCCACAAAAAAAAAUGGCUCCAAUUUCAAUAAUUCCCGCCAAAUAAUUAUUAUUUUUUAAUUUACCACCAAAAUAUAUCUUAAAGAAAUUUUAGUUAUUCUUGCUAGAUUUAACAAAAAUAAUUUGUAGGAUUAACAUUUAAUUAAAAUAAUUAAAUAAUUUUAUUAUUCCAAUUAAAAAUGUCAUGUUUAUACGAUAGACAAUAUUCAUGAAUGGGAAGUAUUAGUUACAUAUUUUUCCUUGGGAUUUCAGGCAAAUGAAAAAAAGAUUGAGAAUGAUUUCAAGAGGACAGGUGGAUGAUAAGUAUUCAUUUUUGUAUAUUUGGCUAGUGGAUUUUUAUGGUAUUGAUCUUUUUAAAAAAAAAAAAAAAAUUCAAUUAGUUGCAGCCCUAGAGGAAGAGCAGGCUGAUCAAAUUGAUUUGUCUUGUUUUUCGGGCAAUCUACGACACGAUGACUGUGAUAAUGCUCGUGACUGCUGGAAACUUUCACUUAGAAAUUAUGAGGAAAAAGUAGUAUCCUUCUUAUUUACAAUCAGUACAAGGAUCCCUUUUAAAUAGAGCAAUUAUAACAGAAAAGGAAACUAAUUAAGAGCUAAUAUUUGACAGCUAUCAUCUAUAUUUACAUAGGAAAGGAUCCUAAAAUAUCUCUAGGAUUAAGGCUAAAAUCAAGGCCUAAUUUCCAACACUCCCCCUCAAGCUGGUUUGAAGAUAUCUUCCAUAGCCAGCUUGCUAGUCAACUUAUCAAAUUGCUUCUUGUGCAAUCCCUUUGUUAAUACAUCAGCUAAAUGUUCAGUUGUUGGAAGAUAGGUCAUACAUAUUAUUCCAGUGUUGAGUUUCUCCUUGAUGAAGUGUUUAUCCACUUCUAUAUGUUUUGUUCGAUCAUGAAGAACAGGAUUAUGAGCUAUAGAAAUAGCAGCUUUGUUGUCACAAUAGACUUUCAUAGGAGUUGAGAAAGUAAAUUUCAGUUCUUCAAGAAUUCUUUUUAUCCACAUAACCUCACAGAUUCCAUGGGCAACAACUCUGAAUUCUGCUUCUGCACUACUUCUAGCAACCACAUUCUGUUUUUUACUCUGCCAUGUAACUAGGUUCCCACCAACAAAGGAACAGUAGCCAGAUGUUGAUCUCCUGUCAGUGACACUUCCUGCCCAGUCUGCAUCUGUGUAGACUUCAACUUGAAGAUGUCUAUGUUUUUUGAACAUUAGGCCCCUCCCUGGAGUUCCUUUUAGAUAUCUUAAGAUCCUGUAGACUGCCUCAAAAUGCUCUGCCCCUGGUGAGUGCAUAAACUGACUUACCAUGCUGACUGCAAAGGCGAUAUCAGGUCGCGUAUGAGACAAGUAGAUCAACUUCCCUACGAGUUUUUGAUAUUGUUCCCUAUCCUUUACUUCUUCAACCUUAGCAGGUUGUAACUUCAAGUUAGGAUCAAUUGGGCACUUUAGCCUAAAAUGAAGAUCUAUUAAAAAUUUCCCUGAUGUCAUGAUAUAAAACAAUAAAAGGUACCAACUUCAGCUUAAAUUCAUAUAAAAUUAAACCUUACCACAUACUGUAUUGAAACAAAUUACUCAUCUUUAUUGGUAACAUCAUCACCUUCAUAAAAUAUAUGGUAUCGUACAAAGUUCUUGCGCUGGGUUCGGGCAUCUAACAACGAGGACACAGCAACCUAUUCGCUAGGUUAGAGACCAAAGAGCCAACAGCAAAAUGUGCACGACGCAUGUCACUAUCAUGAAAACAACAUUCUUUUUUCUUUUUUUUUUUUCUCUCAAUAAUUUCAGAUAUAAUAUUUUAACUAAGUUUGUAACACUGUUGAUUGAAAUUAUCAAGUACGAAUGUGUGUAGAUUUUAACAUGUGCACUCAUAAUUAUUAUUGUGCAGUUUUAGACUUGGUUGGGUAUUGAGGUGCUAAAACUUUUGCCGUAAGAAAAAAAAGUUUUAAGUAUAAAAUAAAAGUUAAUAGUAUAUAAUAAAUUUAAUUUUUUUAAUAAUAAUUUUGAUAAAAUUAGAAAAGAUAUAAUAAAUUUUUUAUCAUAUAAGUGUAAAAUCAAAUCAUCUUAACUUUUAAACUACAACAACUAUAACAUUUUAACUGUUCAAUCUCAAUCCCAAAUAGACCCUUAAUUUAUAAUUAGAUUGUCACUAAAAGAUUUUAAGUAUGUAUUUUAGAAUUUAACGAAUACACUUUUAAACUACCUUUGUCAGAUGAAAUGUUGGGAAAUUUUUAUUAAGCUCCAAAAGUGUUUGAAAUAAAUUUAUGUUUUUAUGAUACCAAAAAAAAAAGAUUUAUGAACAUUUUUGUGAAGCUUAGGCGAAAAUUUUUGUUAGGCUCUAUUGGGGUAGAUGAGCAGCUCGGGCAGUUAAUUAUCGCCCAAAAAGCCCAACCCAGAUUACAACAAGCUGGGAUUUGGUUAGCUCGUUGACGGCCAUUUGGGUAUGCAUGAAUUGGGUGGAUGAUUAAUAAAUACGAUUUAUUAAUUAUUUCGCCGAUUUGAAUAUUCUCCUAAUUUAAUCUUUUCUAAUAUAUAAUAACGAGAUUUUGACAUGUGUUAUACCUGUGUUAUUUUAAUAAUCCAAUAGAUAAUAUCUACUUUAUUUUUAUCUUUCGUUAUUAAAUACAAAAACACUAAUAGAAAAAAAAAAUGACUUAACUCUUUUUAUAUUUUUAAUUUUUAUUUAUUUCCUUUUAUUGCUUUCCUAGCAAUGUUCAUCUUUUUACUCUACAACAUCCAUAACCUUAACUUUGGAAAUAAAAGAGAAUAUGCGAAAGUAUAAGUAGGAGAAAGAAUUCAUUGAAAUCAAACGAAUUGGGCAACGUUAGAUUUUUCUUUAAAAUUCUCAUGCGAUAUUAAUUAGUAGUAUUAUCGUUGCUGCCUGCCUACUUCUAACCUCAACCAAUAUAUGAUCAAUGCUUGAUUUGGUCAAUCUAAAUAAUUAUAAUUGAUGAUUGGAUAUUGUUGAAGGGCGGCCCUAAGGAUGAGAGAGGGGAAUGCGUGUGCAAGCCACAUGUGUGAAGAAAAAGAAAAAGGCAAGAGUGAAGAUGACGGCGAUUAAGAUCGUGUUUGAUUUCUUUUCCUGUUUAAUUUUAGUUAAUCUGCUGUUGUUAGUUCCAAAAUUUGAGUUAGCAACAAAAUGACAUGUUUUUGUGUUUAAUAAGGAAAAAGUAAAUAAUAGAUUUUCUAUAGGAUUCUUGGAAUGGAUUAGAUUAGACUAUGGAGAGAAAUAUAUUUGAGAAUAUUAGUGUUGAGUC
rnacentral:lncRNA from 1 species